CCUACGGGAGGCAGCAGUGAGGAAUAUUGGACAAUGGUCGGAAGACUGAUCCAGCCAUGCCGCGUGCAGGAUGAAGGUCUUAUGGAUUGUAAACUGCUUUUGUAAGGGAAGAAUAAGGAGUACGAGUACUUUGAUGACGGUACCUUAUGAAUAAGCAUCGGCUAACUCCGUGCCAGCAGCCGCGGUAAUACGGAGGAUGCGAGCGUUAUCCGGAAUCAUUGGGUUUAAAGGGUCUGUAGGCGGGCUUGUAAGUCAGAGGUGAAAGCGCUCAGCUCAACUGAGCAACUGCCUUUGAAACUGUUGGUCUUGAAUGGUUGUGAAGUAGUUGGAAUGUGUAGUGUAGCGGUGAAAUGCUUAGAUAUUACACAGAACACCGAUAGCGAAGGCAUAUUACUAACAAUUGAUUGACGCUGAUGGACGAAAGCGUGGGGAGCGAACAGGAUUAGAUACCCGAGUAGUC
rnacentral:rRNA from 1 species